GCCAGGCAUGGUGGUUUGUGCCUGUAGUCUCAGCUACUCAGGAGGCCGAGGCAGGAGCAUGCCUGGAGCUCAGGAAUUCUGGGCUGUAGUGUGCUAUGCUGAUCAGGUGUCUGCUGCCAGUUCAGCAGCAGUAUGGGGACACUUGGGGAGCAAGAGAACACCAGGUUCCCUAAGGAGAGGUGAACUGGCCCAGGCCAGAAACAGAACGAGUCAAAACUCAAGUGCUGGAGUAGUGGAAUUGCACCUGUGAAUAGACACUGCGCUCCAGCCUGGGCAACAUAGCAAGACUCCAUCUGU
rnacentral:SRP_RNA from 1 species